AGAAGCAGCCCCGUCGGGUGAUGUUUUAUUUCCCCUGUCCUCCUCCAUCUCCACGUGGGCAGUGUUCGCAGGCACCCAGCCUUCACGACCUAAGUGUGGUCCCGGUGCAAGCUGUUGAUUUUAACGCUGUCCCUGCUGCCAUACUGUGCAUCGAGAGAAGACACCAAGGGACUUGACACUUGCGGGACACAUAAAUGAUCUCCGCUUUCUCACAUCCUCUGCUCUCUCCUCAGCCGAAUAUUGGCAGCCCUGACCCUGUUUUUGGGAAUUGUGCUGUUUAUUGGGGUGACAAAAUGCAGCUGUCAAAUCGAGCACAGCGACGCCGCAGCGAAGGAGCAGCCACGGCUGGAGCCAGCUCCGGGACAGGAGGGCACACACAGCGGCUGCUGGGUGGCAGUGACAGGACACGGGAGCAGGCUGAGCUGCAGCCUGGUGCGAUGACAGCACCAGGCACUUCUGCCCCAUGCAAAACCCCACUGCCAGCUGGCACCUGCAGCAAAACUGCGGUGGGUUUACUGAGGGAAGCUGCCGGCAUCAGAAAAGCCGCAGCUGGUCAGUUCCUCAGAGGGGAUGCAACAUUUGCUCCUGGCCUUGGUGGAAAUCCUACAGGAAGGAGAAGGCAGGGGGCAGGCUCGGGGCUGAGCACUGACAGAGCUUGGCUUGAAGGGACAAGGCUGGAAACUCGGGUCAGCAUCAAGGGCAGGCACAGAACAGCAGGAGAGCGGCAGCAGCUGGAGAUGGCAUCAACCUACAGAGCUUGCUUGUGGACACAGCCACAUCCAAGACCCCAGAGGGGUCUCUCCUGCUCCUGCAUCCCUGAAUCCCAAGGGUGCUCCCCCCUGCACCAUGCCAGAUGGGGAUGACUCUGAGCGUACUUCCUCUGAGUGUUACCAAGGAAACCUGAAUCAGGAACAGAGUUGAGCUCCAGGGAAAGGGGAAGGGGAAGCAAAGUCCCAGACAGGUACCCAGGGCUGGCGUGCUGGGCGACCGCACAGUCUAGCGCUAGAAAUGCAGUGGCAGGCUUGAGAGCAGCACCAUUUAAUGAUGCCCGGGCUCUAGGGAAAAGCCCAGUGGUUGAAACCCGUCACACCCAGGCAGGCUGGCAGGGGAAAGCUGGGUGUCCUCGGUGGCGAGCCCCCAAGGAGCCAAACCGAAGGCUCAGCCCCUGGAGAGAGAAUCUGGCGCAGGAGGAAGAAGAACUUGAGGGUUUUUUGUCUCGCCGCUUCCUGCCGAAAGCUGGCACGGCUGUAAAAUCGCAAGCCCAGAACAAUGAGGUCUCCUGUCCCAGCAGCUGCUAAAGCAGUCACCUGGGGAGCUUCCUGCCAUCAGCCAGGGGCAGGACGAGAAGUUGCUCCCGCACGCUUUCCUGCAAUCCGCCACACGCCUGAUUUAUGCUCGGCUACGUCCCUGCCACCCCCUCCCCCAGAGCCGGGCGUCUCACGCUCGGAGAAGAGGAUGUGGUUGCUGAGACCAACCUCUGACAGGGAGCAGGCUCAUCUUUCAGCCCUGCUUCCCCACGCAGCAGGAGGUGCUUUUCUUUGUGACUUUUGAGCCACCCCAUAGCUCCCCACAGGCAGUGGAGACAGUGCAGGCACUCCCUGGACAUCCCCUGUACCCGGCGCCCUUGCUGCUGUGCCCCAAAGCACCCUGCGAAUGCUCUGUGGCUGACACACGCUGCAAAUCCACUGCUUGCAGUCACCAAAGAGCUGGCACCACGCUGCCACUGGCUUCCUCUCAGGCCAUCACGCCUUUCCAAAGCAUUAGUCUGCUGGUCUGAGCCACGCCGGAUCUCGCCUCACGGGUGAGUAUUUUUAGAAAGUUGGAGCUAAGACCAUGCAGUCACUCCUGAGCUAUGCCAGGAUGAAAAGAAAACAACCACUUCUGCCCGAACAAUGCAGCCUUGGAACAAAAAGCCGCUGCAAAUGGCAUUUUUCAGCAUCACUCACAACUGGCCGAGCUUUGAAAGACGAAACUUGCAGUCAAAAAAAAAAAAAAAAAAAAAAAAAAAGAAAAAGAGAGGUUCCCAUUGAACAGAAAGGGCCUCGACAAUUUACUUAAAAAGCCAGAUUAAAGCAAAACGGUGUUAUAUAAAUACUGGAAGGCAUGCCGCGGCUUGCACGCGGUGCAACCCUGCGUUUGCAUCAGCUGCUGCUGCUGGCUGCGUGGCGCGGCCCCGUGCUCGCAGCAGCCCAAGGGGAUGGAGGUGAGCGAGCCCUGAGCACCCGCGGGCUGCAGCGUCUCUGCCCCGAGGCACAACCGCCCUCCUCGUGCAACGCGAGACCGGCACGAGAAGCAGCACGGAAGGUCCCCGGAAAGCACCAAAAUCGCUGGUGCAUUUUGUACCCGCUGGACGACUCGGAGGGGGUGUUUCUGAGGGCUCUGGCUGCAAAAAUUUCCUGUUUUUCUGUAUUGCUCAAGCACUCGUCUGCUGAGACGGAGGAUGCAGCUGGGGUGCCCGCAGGGGAGCAGCGGUGCGCACCAGGAGCUCGGCAAAGAGGCCGGCUCCGGUCCCCUUCUGCUGGCAGCAGGUGUCCCCUGCUGCUGUCACCUCCUCCCUUCCCUGGAGCACACCCAGGCUCGCGCAGCACCCACGGGAUGAAGCCGCCCGUCCCUGUCCCCGUGCACAGCCUGAGGCAGGGCCCGGGCGCUGCCAAGCAGGCCCCGCCCUGGCUAACGCGCUGGCGGCCAGCUGCAGCCUCCGGCUUCUGCUCGAGAAAGGCUUCGAGUGGAAAGUGCUGGCAGAGGAACCACAAGGCUCACGAGUGAGCCGAGGGCAGAAAGACAAGCGGCGGAAAGGCCGUGGCGAAGCACUGCUGCCUUUUCCUUCUCCCUGCUCUCGUGCCUGCCCUGCUGGCGGAGGUGGACUUGGGCCUGGGUGGGUUGCAGAGCAGGCGAGGAGGACAGGACGUCUCACCUGUGAUCUAAUUUGAUUUAGGUCCAGGACUCCAACCUUCUGUACUUUGCCUUAUCGUUUUAUUGCUGAGGAUAUUGCAGCUGGCCAAGCUACGAGCAACUUGCAAUUUAACCUGCAGAAAACUGAAACCAACGAUGAGUGCUCAGCACGACUCAGCAAGGCUUCGGAACGCCGCUGAGCUGAACGCUGCUGCUAAUGGCCUGCCCGGGUUCGAGAUCCGAGUUGCCAAAUCCGUGCGAAUCCUGACUCACCGCCUGCGGAGCCAGCUGGAGCCAAACGUGGCCACAGCUGGCCCUGUCCACGCUCACAGCCCCCGUGUGCUGCGCAUCAGGCAACCUGAGUUUCCCAUCCCCUACCGGCACGUCGUGGGGGCUCGGCGCAGCACGCCGGGCACGGCAGCAGCGCGGCUCUCACCCUGCGAGGUUUCAGCAGACGGAGCCGAACGGCUCAGGAAAGCAGCAGCUGCUGCUCUUGGGUUCGAUGCAAGCCAGCAGAAAGGGAUGAAAAAGCUCUGCUUGCUGCGAACCGGGUGCCUUCAACCAGACUGCGCGGGUGGAGGCGCCGCAUGUGAAUCGUGUUGGGGGGGGAAAUCUCAGCGCUGGGUUCAGAGCGCAGCCGGGCAGUGAGCAUCGGGGUCAGCUCGGCUUCGCUCCCCUUGGAGAGGCAGCGACCGCCACACGUUCCUAAAAUAGCAACCGGGAACAUGAGAAGCAGAGAGCACUGCUGUAAUGCUUGGGCGGGAGAGAGUAAAUGUUUAACAGAUCAGGGGAACGUUGGAUGUGUUUAACUCCGAAAGGGAGGAACAACGGCAUCCUUGCCCGAGUGAGAACAGAGACAUUUUCUCAACUGACAUGUACAAAACAGCUGUUUCUGAGAAACAACCUACUGCCUUGGCUCCCUGCUCUCAGGAAAGACCAAGAUCACAUUCAGCUGGCAUGAAAAUUGCUGUGCAACCCCUCUUUUAACCGCUACAUAAACACGCUCCUUGCAGUGCUUCCUGCUUGCACCUCCCGAAGCCUCCCUAGCCGUCGCCAGCCAGGGAUUCGAGUUCAGAUCCUGCUGCAGAAAACAUCGCUGUGCUUUGAGGCCUGCGCUGUGGUGAAAACCAUGCAAAGCAUCACGGUGCCCCCAACCUCCUCCUCUUCCUCUCUGCCAGCCAGGCAGUUUCUGGAGGAUUUCUCCCUGUGUACGUGGGUCUCUGGUGUUUAUCUCACAGAAACAGUUGUGGCUUUCAUAUAAUGCACCCUAAAGCACGCUGGUGCUUUAAUAGCCGACCGGCACAUUAGCUCCACUUUUCCUCAGAAGGAAGUGAUAAAAUAGCUAAUUUAUACUGUCUCUUAAACGCACAAUGCAAAGUCACUGUGUUUUUUCCUGUUCUGUGGGAUGGUGAAGCAUAAAAGUUGGCUAUUGUUGGGUACGUGACGCUGUUCCCCUACUUUUCCUGCACAUGCAGGAAAGUGGAGACAGUCUUUACUAGAAGUGUUUACAGAGCAGCCAAGAACACCGAGGCGCACCAAAAAGGCAGGGCGAACCGCUCGGCCCGAAACAGGAGCGGGACACCAGCAGCACAGCUCCUGCGGUCUCCGCCGUAAAGCCGAAUACCAUUUCUCUCUGCUCACAGCUUCCCAAAUUACAUCCAAGUGACAUCACCGCAUGCAGCGCACCGCGCGGGCGGCACGCCAGGCCGUGAGCUCAGCCCUGACGGGAAGGCAGCCCACCUCGGGGCGCCGGCACCGCUUCUCGCUGCUGCCCACGCCCCGCGGUGCCCGGGCGGGUGAGAGCAGGUGGGAACGGCGACGCCUGCAGCGCCGCGGUUGCGGCGGGACGCACGGGACUUGGAGCGCUGCUUCCUCGCUCCUUAAAAGGUCACAGCUCGUUCCUGCGAAGGUGCAGGGAAAAAAAAAAACAAAAACCUAACGACCUGUGCCAGGGAGGCGAAAUGGAGCAGAGCCAAGGCAGAGUUAAGACUGAUUGAGGGAAACAGAAGCUAGGAAGGGAAAAAAAAAACAACAGCUCUUACAUGGUUAUUAGGCACGUACAGUGUGCUCACGCGUGAACUGAAGUUAAGCGUUACAGUGGGCACCAGCCCCGAUGUCGUACUCUGCCUACCAGCGAAAGAGGAAGCUGGGAGCGGGGCACUGCCAAACUGGAAGUGUUCGGAAUUCAGCUUGACUGUAAUCAGGUGAAUGUGGGGAGGAAGCGCUGGGAAAGGAUGGAGGCUGUGUGUGACACGGGCACACAGCUGCCUCCCUUAGUCUAAAGGUCGGGGCAAUUACCAUCAUGAUACCGCCUGUUGUCAGGACUCACCCGUGUGAGCAGAUCUAAUUAUUCACACAAGGGACAGGGAGGCUUCAGACUGCUUGGGCAGGGAAGGAGGUGAGAAAAGCAUGGUGGGGAGCGAGCACAGGGGAGGCUUCUCACGUGCAAUGAGCCACUGCCCCUCUGCGCACGCGAGGUGCCUCCUUCCAGAGGCCUGGGUCCAGCUGCACCCAAAGGGGACACGGGAGCAGCACUGCAAGCCCUGUGAAAGUAAUCCACUUGUUUGUUUUUCGGAACAUUACCUUUUAGUAGGGAUCAAGUCGUAACCUGCUCUCUCCCAACCCAUCAUUAGAAACCAGCCACUGCUCUGCUGGUACUGCCUCUCACCCCUCUGGACAGACAAGGGACUUCCCUGUGAUUUCAGAGAAUCAACUUUUAUUCUCCAGCUAAACAGAAGUGACAAUAAAGUUCUCUUUAUUACAGACCUACAAAAAAGGAGAUCCAUAAAAUACUUCUAUUUUCUCUUAUGAAAUUAUGAGAGGAGUCUGAGGCUUUGCAGAGCAUUUGUACCUGCCCCAGGGACGUGAGGACAGCGGGAUAAAAACACAGGUUUCACAGACAAGGCAGAGGCAUUCCCAGCUUUAAACAAACCCGCCCAGGGCAGAUAGGCACCCACAUGUUGUAUGGAGCAGCUGCCCUCUGCUCUGGGCUAUCAGAUGCUAGGCGAAGGAGAGACAUUCCUCCUCUUAGCUCAGCAGCAGUUCUACAUGUCAUCUCUUUGCUGAUAAACGUGGGCUCCUAAUCCCAGCCACAUUCCCCAUUUUGAGAAAAAGCAGCCCUGCUCCUCGACACUCUUUACAACUACUGCUGCUCGAGAGAAGGGGGGAGCAGGAAGGAAGGGUUACAACACUGUCCAUCUCCUAAGAACCCCCAAACAAAAGAAAACCCCA